UUUAUACGUUACGUAUAUAUUUAUAAAUUUUUAGCAGUAUUGACAGUGAAUUUUGAAACACAGCCAAAAUUUACCUAGUGACAGUGAUUAUCGUGUGAGCACUCACUUGUUCGAUGUUUUCUAAACGUAUAUUACGUGACUGUGAUAUUCAACUUUUUUCGUCCUUCCCGCCUUGGCUUCGCUAUCUCCGAAGGCUGUGCAUACAUACUCGAAGAGUAUCUGUUAUGUAUACAGUGGAAGCAGAGGAAUAAACAGACUUUACAUAACAUUAAACAUCUAACACAUCAUUGUGUUCGGGAAAGUCGACAUUUCACAUUGGCACUCAAUAUUGAAGAUAAGGUGCCUCUAAAAUAGGAGGAUAUUGUCAAACAACUAAAGAAGCAGAAAAACAUAUUCAAGGAUGGUUGAGAAGAGCUGCUGAAAGAGGAAAACUGAGACAAUAAAUUUAAAAUACAUCUUAUAUUCUGUAUUUGCAAAGGAUGAUGAGACAAGAGAUGAUAAUGAUGAUGAUACGAAAUCUCGUCGGAUAGUAACAUCCAGAUCACCAUACAGCACUACCACAAUACAAAGUGCCUAAGCAAUAUGCAGCUGUUGUAAUAGGAAGAGGUGGUUCAGUGAUCAAAAACAUACAAGAUAAAAGUGGCACACAUAUUAAUAUGAGUAAAGAUGAUAUAGAAUCUCCGUAUCGUCUCUGUGUUAUACAAGGAAAAGAAAUGGAAGACAUUCGUUUAGCAGAGUCAAUGAUCAAAAAUAUAAAGGAAAUCAGCCUAUCAUUGAGA